rnacentral:rRNA from 1 species
CUAUUUGGCGGUCAAGCAUCCGACACUGAUAGCACGGACCUCGAUGAACCCGUAGAAUCCUCCAACACGGGAUCUAUCGACCUAGAUCCUUUCGACUAUGUCUACUCGAACAUCCCAGACAGCACGCACAUCCUGAAGCACGCGGCAAACUGCGACCAUUGCAAGGCCAAGAAGUUCCAGUACGAGACUAACGGCUUCUGCUGUCGGAACGGGGAGAUUGAGCUAGCUGAACGCGAGCCUAUCCCAGAGCUGAUGAGGUUAUGGUCAAGCGCGGAUGCAGACUCUCAGCAUUUCCGAGAGAGCAUUCGGUUCUUCAAUGGG